CCUUGAGCUCACUUUGUAGGCCAGGCUGGUCUUGAACUUGCAAGGAUCCUCCUGCCUCAGCCUCCUAAGUGCUGGGAU
rnacentral:miRNA from 1 species